rnacentral:rRNA from 1 species
UACGGGGGGGGCAAGCGUUGUUCGGAAUUACUGGGCGUAAAGGGCGCGUAGGCGGCCUACUAAGUCGGACGUGAAAUCCCUCGGCUCAACCGGGGAACUGCGUCCGAUACUGGUGGGCUUGAAUCCGGGAGAGGGAUGUGGAAUUCCAGGUGUAGCGGUGAAAUGCGUAGAUAUCUGGAGGAACACCGGUGGCGAAGGCGGCAUCCUGGACCGGUAUUGACGCUGAUGCGCGAAAGCCAGGGGAGCAAACGGG